GCUAACCCGUUAAAUCCACCGCCGGGGGAAUACGGCCGCAAAGUUAAAACUCAAUGAAUUGACGGGGGCCCGCACAACCGGGGAACCGUGUGGUUUAAUUCAAUGCAACGCCAAAAACCUUACCUGGCUCUUGACAUCCACGUAACUUAACUGAAAUGCAUUGGUGCCUUCUGGAACUGUGACACAGGUGCUGCAUGGCUGUCGUCAGCUCGUGUUGUGAAAUGAUGGGUUAAUUCCCCCAACGAGCGCAACCCUUAUCCUUUGUUGCCAGCGGUCCUGCCGGGAACUCAAAGGAGACAGCCAGUGAUAAACUGGAAGAAGGUGGGGAUGACGACAAGUCAUCAUGGCCCUUACUACCAGGGCUACUCACGUGCUACUAUGGCGCAGACGACGAUAAGCGACCUCACGAGAGCGACCGGACCUCAUACAGUGCGUCUCACUCCUGAUAGUAGUCUGCGACUCGACUCCGUGAGAUCUUAAUCGCUAGUAAUCGCACAUAACAAUGCGACGGUGAAUACAUUCCCGGGCCUUGUACACACCGCGCGUCACACCAUGGGAGUGGGUUGCAAAAGAAAUAGGUAGGUUAACCUUCGGGAGGGCGCUUACCACUUUGUGAUUCAUGACUGGGGUGAAGUCGUACAACGGUGGCCA
rnacentral:rRNA from 1 species